rnacentral:rRNA from 1 species
AGGUUAAGUUAACAAGGGCGCAUGGUGAAUGCCUUGGCACUAGGAGCCGAUGAAGGACGGGACUAACACCGAUAUGCUUCGGGGAGCUGUACGUAAGCUAUGAUCCGGAGAUUUCCGAAUGGGGCAACCCAGCAGUUUUAAUCAACUGUUACCACUAGAUGAAUUCAUAGUCUAGUUGGAGGUAAACGCUGUGAACUGAAACAUCUCAUUAGCAGCAGGAAUAUAAAGAAAUUUCGAUUCCCUAAGUAGCGGCGAGCGAACGGGGAACAGCCCAAACCAAAGUGCUUGCACUUUGGGGUUGUAGGACUGAACAUUUGAGUUACCAAAGAACUUGAUAGUCGAAGGAUUUGGGAAAAUCCGCCAUAGAUGGUGAUAGCCCAGUAGAUUAAAUCAAAUUCUCUCAGUUCAGGAUCCUGAGUACGGCGGAACACGUGAAAUUCCGUCGGAAUCCGGGAGGACCAUCUCCCAAGGCUAAAUACUACCUAGUGACCGAUAGUGAACCAGUACCGUGAGGGAAAGGUGAAAAGCACCCCGGGAGGGGAGUGAAAUAGUUCCUGAAACCAUGUGCCUACAAUAAGUCAGAGCGCGUUAAUGCGUGAUGGCGUGCCUUUUGUAGAAUGAACCGGCGAGUUAUGAUCCCGUGCAAGGUUAAGACUAAAAAGUCGGAGCCGUAGCGAAAGCGAGUCUGAAAUGGGCGUUUUGAGUACGAGGUUAUAGACCCGAAACCAGGUGACCUAUCCAUGUCCAGGUUGAAGGUGCGGUAAAACGCACUGGAGGACCGAACCCGUGUAAGUUGAAAAUUGCUGGGAUGAGGUGUGGAUAGCGGUGAAAUUCCAAACGAACUUGGAGAUAGCUGGUUCUCUCCGAAAUAGCUUUAGGGCUAGCCUCGGAAUUAGGAUCGUGGAGGUAGAGCACUAUUUGGACUAGGGGCCCGUCUUGGGUUACUGAAUUCAGAUAAACUCCGAAUGCCAUUGAUUCAUAUCCGGGAGUCAGACGAUGAGUGAUAAGAUCCACCGUCGAAAGGGGAACAGCCCAGACCAUCAGUUAAGGUCCCUAAAUGUAUGCUAAGUGGAAAAGGAUGUGGAGUUGCAUAGACAACUAGGAUGUUGGCUCAGAAGCAGCCACCAUUUAAAGAGUGCGUAAUAGCUCACUAGUCGAGUGAUCCUGCGCCGAAAAUGUACCGGGGCUAAGCAUACUACCGAAACCAUGGAUGCGACCAUUAGGUCGCGUGAUAGGAGAGCGUUCUAAGGGCGGUGAAGCAAGAUCGUGAGGACUUGUGGAGCGCUUAGAAGUGAGAAUGCCGGUAUGAGUAGCGAAAGAUAGGUGAGAAUCCUAUCCACCGAAUGACUAAGGUUUCCUGGGGAAGGCUCGUCCUCCCAGGGUUAGUCGGGACCUAAGUCGAGGCCGAGAGGCGUAGACGAUGGAUAACAGGUUGAGAUUCCUGUACUAGUUAAGUGCGUUUGAGCAAUGGAGGGACGCAGGAGGCUAAGAUGUGCAUUCUGUUGGAUUAGAAUGUCCAAGCAGUAAGUCUUGUGAAGAGUCAAAUGCUUUUCACUUUAAGGACAAGCUGUGAUGGGGAGCGAAAUUUAGUAGCGAAGCGUCUGAUGUCACACUGCCGAGAAAAGCUUCUAGUGAGUACUUAACUACCCGUACCGCAAACCGACACAGGUAGUCGAGGAGAGAAUCCUAAGGUGAGCGAGUGAACUCUCGUUAAGGAACUCGGCAAAAUGACCCCGUAACUUCGGGAGAAGGGGUGCUGAUCGCAAGAUCAGCCGCAGUGAAUAGGCCCAGGCGACUGUUUAUCAAAAACACAGGUCUCUGCAAAAUCGUAAGAUGACGUAUAGGGGCUGACGCCUGCCCGGUGCUGGAAGGUUAAAAGGAUGGGUUAGCUUCGGCGAAGCUCAGAAUUGAAGCCCCAGUAAACGGCGGCCGUAACUAUAACGGUCCUAAGGUAGCGAAAUUCCUUGUCGGGUAAGUUCCGACCCGCACGAAAGGCGUAACGAUCUGGGCACUGUCUCAACGAGAGACUCGGUGAAAUUAUAUUGUCCGUGAAGAUGCGGACUACCCGCGACAGGACGGAAAGACCCCAUGGAGCUUUACUGUAGCUUGAUAUUGAGUGUUUGUACAGCUUGUACAGGAUAGGUAGGAGCCAUAGAAACCGGAACGCUAGUUUCGGUGGAGGCGUUGGUGGGAUACUACCCUCGCUGUAUGACCACUCUAACCCGCACCACUAAUCGUGGUGGGAGACAGUGUCAGGUGGGCAGUUUGACUGGGGCGGUCGCCUCCUAAAAAGUAACGGAGGCGCCCAAAGGUUCCCUCAGAAUGGUUGGAAAUCAUUCGCAGAGUGUAAAGGCACAAGGGAGCUUGACUGCGAGACAGACAGGUCGAGCAGGGACGAAAGUCGGGCUUAGUGAUCCGGUGGUACCGUAUGGAAGGGCCAUCGCUCAACGGAUAAAAGCUACCCUGGGGAUAACAGGCUUAUCUCCCCCAAGAGUCCACAUCGACGGGGAGGUUUGGCACCUCGAUGUCGGCUCAUCGCAUCCUGGGGCUGUAGUCGGUCCCAAGGGUUGGGCUGUUCGCCCAUUAAAGCGGUACGCGAGCUGGGUUCAGAACGUCGUGAGACAGUUCGGUCCCUAUCCGUCGCGGGCGUAGGAAAUUUGAGAGGACCUGUCCUUAGUACGAGAGGACCGGGAUGGACAUACCUCUGGUGUACCAGUUGUGCCGCCAGGCGCAUCGCUGGGUAGCUACGUAUGGAUGUGAUAAACGCUGAAAGCAUCUAAGUGUGAAACACACCUCGAGAUGAGAUUUCCCAUUCCUUUAUGGAAGUAAGACCCCUGAAAGAUGAUCAGGUAGAUAGGUUAGAAGUGGCAGUGCGGUGACGCAUGAAGCGGACUAAUACUAAUCGGUCGAGGACUUAACCAAG